CACGUAGGCGGAUUAGUCAGUCAGAGGUGAAAUCCCGGGGCUCAACCCCGGAACUGCCUUUGAUACUGCUAGUCUUGAGUUCGAGAGAGGUGAGUGGAAUUCCGAGUGUAGAGGUGAAAUUCGUAGAUAUUCGGAGGAACACCAGUGGCGAAGGCGGCUCACUGGCUCGAUACUGACGCUGAGGUGCGAAAGCGUGGGGAGCAAACA
rnacentral:rRNA from 1 species